GGGGUAGAGCUCAAUGGUAGAGUGCAUGCUUAGCAUGCACGAGGUUCUGGAUUCGACCCCCAGUACCGCCA
rnacentral:tRNA from 1 species